rnacentral:misc_RNA from 1 species
AAGUCGUAACAAGGUCUCUGUUAGUAAACUAGUGGAGGGAUCAUUACAGAGUUGCACAACUCGCUAAACCAUUGUAAACCCUACCUCCCUGUUGCUUCGGCGGGAGGUACCCUCGUCGCCUUAUAAUAGGCUGCUCGUAGAGUGCCCCUAGGCCCCGCGUAGGCGCCUGCUGGAAUAAUUUUAGAAUCUCUUGACAGUAUAUAGCUUCUCUAAGUCUUACUAAAUAAGUCAAAACUUUUAACAACGGAUCUCUUGGUUCUA